rnacentral:lncRNA from 7 species
GGCUCUUUUUCUCACUUUUACUGAGCUGUUUUGGUGGUGAGCCUAACUGCUGUCCUUCUGGUCCUGCCUCUUGAAUGGGCCUUGAAUCUUUGCUAGCCCUCAGUACUGCUCCUGACCAGAUCCACAGAUGGACUUCGGGCUCAGUUCAUUGUUUGCUGUGUCUGGGACUGCUGAUAACUUCAAACUGGGAGGAGAUGCAAACUCUGAUGAGAAAAGAAACACAAAGGAACGCGGAAGGACCGGAGCUGUGGGUAGGAAGCACCAUGUAAACCAGCCUCCGGUGAAUGCAUAUCCUCUGUUGUGGGAAAAUAACCCCAAAGACGACUCAAUGGGAGUGAAACACCUGGAGAGCAAUAGCCUCGGGCAGAAAGCUCUCUGUGUUCCAGGCCGUUCUUAUGUCUGCAAGUUGUUACCAGAGAAGCAGGAUGAGUCUGGAGAGCGGCCUUUCUAGCGAGCUCCUGCCACGUCUCUGCAUGGCACAAGGAGUGUGGAAGCACCAGCGUGCAGCCUCUCAGCCAAGCCCACUCCUUGUGGCAGCUGGAGGACACAGCCAUGGCAUGAGAGGCACAGCUUAUACUACAAGGAGCAGCUGAUGGCAAUAGUGGUCAAUGUGGUUUUGUUACCUUGAGCUCUGUCAAAGCCACGUCCUCCAGCUCCAUCACCCUGACGCAAACCUGCAGAGGCUGCAGCUUAUUGCUGCCUGGGAUAUGAAGACCAGCACUGGCCUGUUCACAAG